CCCGGAGGGGGGGCGGGCAGCGGCGCGCGGGGGCGACCGGCGAAGCCACCCCCACCCCCGGGGAAGGAGGGGUGCGGCGCGGGGGGGGGCGGGCUGCACCCCCUCCCUGCUCUGCGCUUUGGGCUCCAACUCUGGCAACUCAGCCCCGCGGUUUCGGUACCCACUCAGGCUGCAACUCAGUGCCAGGAAUCAGGCCCAGGGCUUUGCUUGUGUAAGGCAAAAAAAAGUGUUCUGCUGGGCACCACCUCCAGGCCCUGGGCAUCACUUGAACCAAGAGAUAACAAGAAUUUUUCAGAGGUUUGAGCAGGAUGAAAAUGUGGAUGACUCUUUCCUCAUCAAAGAAUGUCAUGGCAGGUAGAGAUGAACUUUGUGAGUAACAGAAAAAUUGUACAGCUGUGGUUUAAACAAAUGGAGUAAUCCAGGAAUGAUCUGGAAGCCCACGUCAGCAAGACUUAGUUUCUACACCUCUGUCUUUCAGCAUUAUUCACAAUAGCCAGAAAUGGAAACAACCAGAGCGCUUGAGAACAGACAACUGGAUAAAGAAACUGUGGUACAUCUACACAAAGGAAUACUACACAGCUGCCAGGAAAAAUGAAGUCAUGAGAUUUGCUUAUAAAUGGAUGGACGAUGGACAUGGAGACUAUUUUGCUCAGUGAAAUGAGUCAGAGGGAGAGGGACAGACAUAGAAUGAUUGCACUCAUUUGCAGGAUAAAAAGACAUAGUAUAAGACUAAUACCUAUGGACAGUAGAAAUGAGAGCCAGGAGGACUGGUUUAUGGUUGGAAACUAGUCACAAGUUGUGGGGGGGCCAGUGUCCGGGAAAGACAGUUAAGAUAGAGAAGGGACCACUAUGACAAUGAUAGUUGGAAAUGAUCACUCUGGACAAGAACUGAGUUGAAAGAAGGUAAAGGGAUUUACAUGAUUACCUUCAAGUACCUUAUAUUAUUU